UCCAUUGCGAGGUGGAAUCUGUAGGAAGCCGGCGGCAAAAUCCCGAUCCGAGGAGCACGAACAUCAUACAAGGCUCAAGCCACAGGACGAGUUUGCAAUACAAAACGAAAUCCGAAAGCUAUCCGGAUGUGGCAGAGUAAAUGAUAUUCAAAGAGGUUAAC
rfam:Bacteroidia bacterium 44-10 SCNpilot_bf_inoc_scaffold_487, whole genome shotgun sequence.